rnacentral:rRNA from 1 species
GAUGAACGCUGGCGGCGUGCCUAAUACAUGCAAGUAGAACGCUGAAGGAGGAGCUUGCUCUUCUGGACGAGUUGCGAACGGGUGAGUAACGCGUAGGUAACCUGCCUGGUAGCGGGGGAUAACUAUUGGAAACGAUAGCUAAUACCGCAUGACAACAGUUAUUGCAUGAUAACUGUUUAAAAGGGGCAACUGCUCCACUACCAGAUGGACCUGCGUUGUAUUAGCUAGUUGGUGAGGUAACGGCUCACCAAGGCGACGAUACAUAGCCGACCUGAGAGGGUGAUCGGCCACACUGGGACUGAGACACGGCCCAGACUCCUACGGGAGGCAGCAGUAGGGAAUCUUCGGCAAUAGACGGAAGUCUGACCGAGCAACGCCGCGUGAGUGAAGAAGGUUUUCGGAUCGUAAAGCUCUGUUGUAAGAGAAGAACGAGUGUGAGAGUGGAAAGUUCACACUGUGACGGUAUCUUACCAGAAAGGGACGGCUAACUACGUG